GGAUGUGAAGGUUAUUUAGCUGUUAUAUCUCUCACCCCAUUGAUUUAAAGGGUUGAUUUGGCUGAUUUAGUUGGAAAGGUGGGUGGUCCCUUCCUCCCUUACUGCUCCUUAUGUGUCCUUCCCAAAUCUGUGUACCCAGUUAAAGCGAAUAGAAACGGGCAUUCCCUGAAUAGAAACAGACCAUUCUUCAGUCAAGGGUAUAUAAGUAAGUAUGCAACCCUACUAGAAUAUCCAAAGAGGCUCUCAAAGGAGACUCAACAAAGAAAAUUCCAAGACACAUUAUAAUACAGAUUC
rnacentral:snRNA from 1 species